rnacentral:rRNA from 1 species
AUGAUGGACCGAUCCAUCGCAGCUCGUACCAAUAUCUUCGCCGGCAGCCUGGACCAGCACCUGUUCAGCUCGGCGCCGGGGUCGCGGCCGGGGCAGCCGCUCGGGUGGGAGCUCCGGUACAGCAUCGUCCAGGGCGUGGCGUCGGCGCUGCACUACCUGCACGACCAGUUCGACCAGCGGGUGGUGCACCGCGACCUCAAGGCCUCCAACAUCAUGCUGGACGCCGCCUUCACCGCGCGCCUCGGCGACUUCGGCCUGGCCCGCACCAUCGAGACGGACAAGACCUCCUACAUGGAGGAGGCCGGCGGCGGCGUGCACGGCACCGUCUGCUACAUCACCCCCGAGUGCUACCACACCGAGAAGGCCACGCGUGAGUCCGACGUCUACGCCUUCGGCGCCGUCCUCCUCGAGGUGGUCUGCGGCCGCCGCCCGCGCUGCGACAUCGACGGCUUCCACUUCCUGGUGGACUGGGUGUGGCGCCUCCACCGCGACGGCCGCGCGCUCGAGGCCGUCGACCCCAGCCUCGACGAGGACGACGCCGAGCGCCUGCUCAUGCUGAGCCUGGCCUGCAGCCACCCGACGCCCGCCGAGCGGCCCAAGGCGCAGGCCAUCUCGCAGAUCCUGCUCCGGUCCAUGCCGAGGCCGGCGGUGCCGCCGUUCAAGCCCUCAUUCGUGUGGCGACGGACAGAGGGUUCGACACCAUGUCCACAACGGCGGGAUCGACGUCGAGCACGGUCGUGA